AAAAAUUAAAAUUUUAAAAUAAAUUCUCUACACCAGCUUAUCCGUGCAGGGUGACGUCAACUGAAGGCUAAGUGCUCCUCCUCCUCCCCAUGUAGCAAAUGUAGCUGUGACACAGAAUGAGAGCAGCCUAACUCUGCGGUGGAACAAGGCUGACGGCAUCUCAACCUACAGACUGCAGAUUGAAGGUGGUGAACCUGCCGACGUCACUGCUGAUCCUGCAGAAACAGUGAGACAUGUGGUCUCUGGUCUGACCGCUGGGACGAGAUACACUUUCACCCUUUUUACAGUUUCCAAUGGACUCAGCAGCUCUGGCUCCUCGUGAUACUGAAAGCUUUGAAGCCAUUGCACAAAAUGAGACCAGCAUAACUCUGCAGUGGACCAAAGUGGGAGACAUUAACAAUUAUACUCUUUCCUACGAUGGAAAGGAGGUCAACAUAAAUUACUCUGCAGGAAAUGGAGAAUACACAGUCUCAGGUCUGACCAGCGCCACUAGAUACAGCUUCACUCUCUACACGGUGUUUGAAAAUAUCAGAAGUAGAGGAGCAAACACCUCUACGCCUCUACCGUUGGUAUGGUCUACAGUUGUCAUUAAUUAUUUUCUUCUAAUAUAGUUUGCAGUUAUGUGCAGCACUUUCUUUUUGUAUUCAAGCACUUUAUAAAUAAAUUAUUAUGGUAUUGUUUAAAAUCAGAUUGCAAAAACUAGAUGU